GGCCAGACUCCUACGGGAGGCAGCAGUGGGGAAUAUUGCACAAUGGGGGAAACCCUGAUGCAGCGACGCCGCGUGAGUGAAGAAGUAUUUCGGUAUGUAAAGCUCUAUCAGCAGGGAAGAAAAUGACGGUACCUGAUUAAGAAGCCCCGGCUAACUACGUGCCAGCAGCCGCGGUAAUACGUAGGGGGCAAGCGUUAUCCGGAUUUACUGGGUGUAAAGGGAGCGUAGACGGCAGCGCAAGUCUGAAGUGAAAUGCCGGGGCUUAACCCCGGAACUGCUUUGGAAACUGUGUUGCUGGAGUGCUGGAGAGGCAAGCGGAAUUUCUAGUGUAGCGGUGAAAUGUGUAGAUAUUAGGAAGAACACCAGUGGCGAAGGCGGCUUGCUGGACAGUAACUGACGUUGAGGCUCGAAAGCGUGGGGAGCAAACAGGAUUAGAUACCCCCGUAAAG
rnacentral:rRNA from 1 species